rnacentral:rRNA from 1 species
AUGUGGAGGCCAGACCAACCCAUGUCAUGUCGAUUCUCGUCGGCCUCAACCAUGCAGGGGCGCUUCUACUUCUCAACUGUCGAGGGGUACAUACUACAGGUGAGGCUCUGUCCCGAGCCUCGCGUGGUGCCCGUGGUCGUGGACCAGCCCAACACCGACUACAACAUGUUCUGCUACCUCGUCCCUCCCGACGAUGACCGCCGCUGCGGUGGCCGCAUGCUCAUGGUGCGCUACUACCUCAGCCUCGACCACCUCAGCGCCGACGAGCGGAGAAUCAUGAAACGCAGGAGGAAGGUCAUGGACGUGAUCAGGGUGGAGCACCAUGUGAAGGCGCAACGGUGGAACCUGAUCCAGGUGUUCGAGGUGGAUGUGGCCGGGAAGAGACUUGUUCCGGUGGAGGACAUUGGCCGGCACCGCGCCGUGUUUGUCGGGGAGGUGGCGUGCUUCUCCCUCUCGGCCAGGAGGUUUCCAUGCGUGGCAGGGAACGCCGUGUACAUGGGGCACGCGGUGCCCGCUGCCCUCCCGUCGGCGUGCGGUAUCUGGCGGACAAGACUGCUGAUCCAUCGUUUGUGUUCAUCACCGACGUGCCAGGAUUUUUGGACUGUAUAUCAAUGA